rnacentral:rRNA from 1 species
AAUCGUUUGGCACCUCGAUGUCGGCUCAUCUCAUCCUGGGGCUGGAGCAGGUCCCAAGGGUAUGGCUGUUCGCCAUUUAAAGAGGUACGUGAGCUGGGUUCAGAACGUCGCGAGACAGUUCGGUCCCUAUCUGCCGUAGGCGUAGGAGAAUUGAGAGGAUCUGACUCUAGUACGAGAGGACCGAGUUGGACGCACCUCUGGUGGACCUGUUGUCGCGCCAGCGGCACAGCAGGGUAGCUAUGUGCGGACGGGAUAACCGCUGAAGGCAUCUAAGCGGGAAACCCACCUCGAGACGAGUUCUCCCUUGAGAGCCGUUGUAGACCACAACGUUGAUAGGCCGGGUGUGGAAGUACAGCAAUGUAUGGAGCUUACCGGUACUAAUAGCUCAAUCGAACUUCGAUC